UACGUAGGGGGCAAGCGUUAUCCGGAUUUACUGGGUGUAAAGGGAGCGUAGACGGUAUGGCAAGUCUGAAGUGAAAGCCCAGGGCUUAACCCUGGGACUGCUUUGGAAACUGUUAGACUAGAGUGCUGGAGAGGUAAGUGGAAUUCCUAGUGUAGCGGUGAAAUGCGUAGAUAUUAGGAGGAACACCAGUGGCGAAGGCGGCUUACUGGACAGUAACUGACGUUGAGGCUCGAAAGCGAGGGGAGCAGACAGG
rnacentral:rRNA from 1 species